GCGUUUUCUCCCUCCGCCACUCCACGGCACUCCUCGAAGGAUUCAAAUCCCGAGCGCCAGAAACCCUCAGUUCUCACUUUCCAGCAAGCAAUUCAACGUCUCCAGGUUGAUGCUGGGACUAUGAAUCCUUUGAUCUACCUAAGGGCUCUUGGUCCUAAACUGUGGAAUGCUGAGCAGUUCGUCUUCAAUGUCUGACAGAGGCGUCGUUUCAUCAUCUAGAAUCACCGCCAAAGUGUUGACGAUGU